CUAUGGUACUUGAGUGGUACCAAAGUGUACUGGUGAGUGUAGCACCAGAUGUGCUGUAACAGACAUCUAAUUCAAUUUUCUACAGUUCUGAGGUUUGCUUCACUUCAGAAGGUACCCAGAAGAUAUUACCCAUGAAGACUUAAGCAUCCCCAUGUGAUAAACAGGAAGGACCAGUGCCUAAUGAAGCAGUGUGAAUGGAAAAUGUAAACAAAACAGGCUUUUCCCCUUGUUGAGAAAACAAUUUUUAUUUACUUGAACCUGCAACCUACAGUCUCAGCCAUGGAAACCAGAUUUGAAAGAAGAGUUGGGGUUACAAUCUACAUUAUGCAACAGUCCAUCUGUGAAGGACAGGGAGGAGCUCUUGGUCUGAUCUGUGUAGCAGUUUUAUUGUAAAAUAAGCAGGGACUGAAUGGCAAAUUCCCAUGGGACUGAACCCAGGAGCACAGCAGAGCCCCACUGUGGUGUGGGUGAUGUGCUCCCCUGGCUACAUCCUCUUCCAUCAAUGUCUGUCAUCUGCUUGGCUCUACUCUAUGAAACUUGACAGUAAAAACAAGAGUUCACCAUUGCAACAUUAAAAAAACUUCCUAGUAUGUA